GUUAUUUUGGCAGAAUAGUGCAAUUGAUUUAGGAUCUUUAAAUGUAUUUAAUACAAAUAAUA
rnacentral:tRNA from 1 species